rnacentral:rRNA from 1 species
UUUUUGGAGAGUUUGAUCCUGGCUCAGAGUGAACGCUGGCGGCGUGGAUUAGGCAUGCAAGUCGAGCGAUAUUUCAGGCGGAGAGGUUGAAGCCGCAAGGUGGAUGCCAAUUUGUUUGAUUUAUAGCGGCAGACUGGUGAGUAACGCGUGAGUAAUUUACCUCUAAGCCGUGUAUAGCCUUGCGAAAGCAAGGGUAAAACACGAUGUGUCUACGAAGACUCAAGUCUUUGUAAGUAAAAGUGGCUCGCAAGAGCUAUUGCUUAGAGAUGAGCUCGCGUCCUAUCAGCUAGUUGGUAGGGUAAUGGCCUACCAAGGCUUUUGACGGGUAGCUGGCCUGAGAGGGUGGUCAGCCACACGGGGACUGAGACACUGCCCCGACUCCUACGGGAGGCUGCAGUCGAGGAUCUUUAGCAAUGGGCGAAAGCCUGACUAUGCGACGCCGCGUGAGGGAUGAAGGUUU